UACGUAGGGACCGAGCGUUGUCCGGAAUCAUUGGGCGUAAAGAGCGUGUAGGCGGCUUGCUAAGUCUUGCGUGAAAUCUCGGGGCUCAACCCCGAGCGGUCGUGGGAAACUGGCAGGCUAGAGUGCGGGAGAGGAGAAUGGGAUUCCUGGUGUAGCGGUGAAAUGCGCAGAUAUCAGGAAGAACACCCGUGGCGAAGGCGGUUCUCUGGAACGCAACUGACGCUGAGACGCGAAAGCGUGGGGAGCAAACAGG
rnacentral:rRNA from 1 species